GGGCCCGCACAAGCGGUGGAGUAUGUGGUUUAAUUCGAUGCAACGCGAAGAACCUUACCAGGGUUUGACAUCCUGCGAAUCUCUUGGAAACGAGAGAGUGCCUUCGGGAACGCAGUGACAGGUGGUGCAUGGCUGUCGUCAGCUCGUGUCGUGAGAUGUUGGGUUAAGUCCCGCAACGAGCGCAACCCACGUCUUUAGUUGCCAGCAUUUAGUUGGGCACUCUAGAGAGACCGCCGGUGAUAAACCGGAGGAAGGUGUGGAUGACGUCAAGUCAUCAUGCCCCUUACAUCCUGGGCUACACACGUACUACAAUGCUACGGACAAAGGGCAGCAAGUUCGCGAGGACAAGCAAAUCCCAUAAACCGUGGCUCAGUUCAGAUCGUAGGCUGCAACUCGCCUCCAUGAAGUCGGAAUC
rnacentral:rRNA from 1 species